GCUCAACAGCCGGCCUUCGACCACCCUUUACUAAAAGAUCACAAGAUCCAGACGAGGCCUGAUUUCCGCCCAGAUGGCCUUUUUGGUGAGAGCAAAUCCUCGGACAGCUCAAGCAAGCCCAUAGUUCAGCUCUGGCACCAGAAUGGGCAGUGCCCGGAGGGCACCAUCCCCAUUAGGAGAACCAGAGGGGAGGAUGUGAUGAGGGCCAGCUCAGUCAAGAGGUAUGGGAGGAAGAAGCGCAGAGCAACACCACAGCCUAAGUCCGCAGACCCGGACCUUGUUAACCAGAGCGGUCAUCAGCAUGCCAUUGCAUAUGUGGAAGGAGAAAAGUAUUA
rnacentral:misc_RNA from 1 species